rnacentral:lncRNA from 1 species
UGCGCCAGGCGCUGGAGAAGUGUUGGGCUUCUUCCUGCUCAGCUACGUGGACGUGCUCGUGCCUCUGCCCAGUGACUCACUGGUGCCCCCGCCCCGCCCCUCGCCUGCUCCUGGCAAUGAACCCUAGCCCCACUCCAGGGCCACAGUACCCCAGCCUCACACAUGCACUCCUCCCCAAGGCCAGGGCAGAGGGCCUCACUGUUUCCUUGGGGCCUCCCCCUGCCGAGCCGCUGCCACCCCACCCUGUGGGAAGUGGCCCCAGCCAUCUCCUCUAGACCACGGCAGGCAGCCCCGGGGUCCCCAGACCCCUGUCCAGGCCAAAACAUACACACAUGGAAAGGAAAUGUGGCAAAGUAUUAGCUACUGUUGAUUCCAGAUGAAAGUUAUACAGGUGUUCGUUAUACCAUUUGAAAAUGCUUCCUAGCCAUCCUAAGCCUUAAAGGAAAAAAAGAAAAUGUUUAAAAUCAAAAGCUGGGGGCAGGAAAAGAAUAACAAAACCUUUGGGCUCAUGCCUGUAAUCUCAGCACUUUGGGAGGCCAAGGAGAGGGGGUUGCUUGAGC